AACCAUAGAAACCUGCGGAGUACCUGCGGAAGGAUCAUUACCGAGUUAUACAACUCAUCAACCCCUGUGAACUUACCUACAACGUUGCUUCGGCGGGAACAGACGGCCCCGUAAAACGGGCCGCCCCCGCCAGAGGACCCCUAACUCUGUUUUUAUAAUGUUUUUCUGAGUAAACAAGCAAAUAAAUUAAAACUUUUAGCAACGGAUCU
rnacentral:misc_RNA from 1 species